rnacentral:tRNA from 1 species
GCUUUCCUGUGGUUCAGUCAGUAGAGCAUUGCGCCAACAAUGCAAAGGUUAUGGGUUCAAACCCCAGGGAAAGCA